CAGCUCUUCCGGUUCCGGGUUUCGCUGCAGAUUCUCGGCGCGCUGGGGUACCCGCGGCUCGGGGCAGUACGGCCGGGGUCCUAGAGGUUUGUGAGCUGCGUCGCGAGCGGACCUGGGCCAACACGUGGCUGCCGUGAAGAACUGGCGGCGGGUGGGCCUGAGCGACUCCAGGACCGAAGGGUGCGAUCUUCCUCCGGGGACCCCACUUCAGGCCAUUGGGGCAGCUGCACUCGGUUGGGGUGAGGCGGGCUGACAGGCCCACCCAGCGUUAGCGGCGCUUUCGUCCCGGGCAGGCACUGCGGCUCGGCAGGACCCUGUGGGCUGUGCUGAGGUGCCGGUACCCCCAGUGUGACCCCCGCGAAGACCAGCGUCCUGGUGGGACGAGGUGGGGGGGGAGUCUGCAGGGGGCCGAGGGAGGGUCUCCACAGCAUUCAGCUGCUCCUGUGGCCGCAAGAUGGAGCCUGCGGCCGUGGCCGCCGCCGUGCGCCUCGCCGUCCAAGAGGCCGUCCGCACUCUGCGCUCCUCCGAGGAUGGGGGCACGGUCCUCUCCGCCCUGGGCCGCCUGCAGCGCUUCCUGGGUGGCACAGACGCCCCGGCGCUCCCCGACGAGCAGCAGGAGUUCGCCAGGCUGCACUUGGCCACCGUUCUCCGCUGUCUGGUGAGCCGGCUGAGCCCGGCCUGGCUGGAGCUGCUGCCCGCUGGCCAGCUGGAGGAGCUGUGGGCCAGUUUCUUCCUGAAGGGCCCUGCCGACCAGGCCUUCCUGGUGCUCAUGGAGUCCAUCGAGGCCACCGAGGGCCCCAGCUUCCGGCUGAUGAAGGUGGCGGAGCUGCUGGCCCGUUUCUUGGGCGCUGGCCGGCUGACGGCUGUGCUAGAAGGACAGUGCAGGCAGCCGCAGGAACCGGCCUUCCCGCUGUUCCAGGAGACUCUGCUGGCCCGGCUGGUGGGCCUGCCCGACCUCCUGGGCAACCAGUUGCAGCGAGAGAACCUGACAAUCUUCCUGCCCCAGAACUACUUCCCUCUGCUGGCCAAGGAGACCGCAAGGGCACUGGGUACCGUGGUGGACUCCCUCCGGGGUGGCUCAGACUGCUCCGUGUCCUUCGUGUCCCAGGUGCUGGGGAAGGCCUGUGUCCAGAGGCGACAUAAGGAAGUCCUGGGUGUGCUGGUGCCCCAGCUGACGGUGCUCACGGAGGGCAGCUGUCUGUGGCAGCGUGUGUGCUGGCGCCUGCUGGAGCAGGUGCCCGACCGGGCAACGGAGGCCGUGCUUACUGGGCUGGUGGAAGCCGUCCCUGGGCCUGAGGUCCUCUCUCGGCUUUUGGGAAACCUGGUGGUGAAAAACAAGAAGGCCCAGUUUGUGAUGACCCGGAAGCUUCUGUUCCUCCAGUAUCGACACAAGACACAGGAGCUGCGGAGCCUGCUGGGGUACCUGGCCUUAGACAGCCAGCGGCGCCCGAUGCUCGUGCAGGUGCUCAAGGAACUUCUGGAAACGUGGGGCAGCAGCAGCGCCAUUCGCCACACGCCCCUGGAGCAGCAGUGCUACGUCAGCAAGGCUGUGCUGCUGGGCCUGGGCCUCCUGGAUGAGGUAGAGCUCCGUGCCAGCCGGGAAGAGCUGCUGGCCAGCCUGAUGGCGGGGGUGAGCUGUCGUCUGGACAGCAGCCUGCCUGCCGCACGCCGACUAGGCAUGGUGGUGGCCGAGGUGGCCAGUGCCCGCAUCCAGCCUGAGGGACCCCCCCUCAAGUUCCAGUACCAGGACGAUGAGCUCAGCCGUGAGUUGCUGGCCCUGGCCACUCCCCAGCCUGUGGGUGACAGCCCCUCGAGGACGAGCCUGCAGGCUGCUUCAGCCCCUGCUGAGACCCCCGAGAAGGGAGCACUAGGUGACGGCGCCCCCCAGACUCAACCACAGGGUUCCGACUCUGAGCCUGACAGUGACGAUGAGUUUGUCCCCUACGACAUGUCAGGGGACAAGGAACUGAAGAGCAGCAAGGCGCCCACUUACGUGCGGGACUGCUUGGAAGCCCUGUCGGCCUGUGAAGACUGGGAGCGCUGGGAAGCUGCCCUGCGGGCUCUUGAGGCGCUGGUGCUCCGGAGCCCGGCUGCCACUCGGGAGGUGAGCGUGGAGCUGACCCGGGCACUGCUGCACCUGGAGGAGCGAACAAGCGUGGUGGGCUUUGAUGGGCUGCGCCAGAGGGCUCUGGUUGCCGUCACCGUCACAGACCCGGCCCCCGUGGCUGAGUACCUGACCUCCCAGUUCUACACCCUCAACUACAGUCUGCGCCAGCGGAUGGACAUCCUGGACGUGCUGACACUGGCUGCCCAGGAGCUGUCUCGGCCGGGGCGCCUCAGGAAGGCACCCCAGCCCAGCUCCCCAGGCCCCCCUUCCUGGCCAGAUAAUGCCCCAGCCCCGGCCUGGCGGGCAGUGGUAGAGGAGCGGAUCCGUGGCAAGACCCGGCGGUUCUCCAGGGGCUCUGCCCGGAGCAUUCCGGCUGGUGACCCCAACAGCUUCAGCGCAGUGGCUGGCUACUUCUUCUUCCCCCUCAUUCAGCGUUUCGACAGGCGGCUGUGGCCAUGGGCAAGGCGCUGCUGGAGUUCGUGUGGGCCCUGCGCUUCCACAGUGAUGCCUACGUGCGCCAGGGGCUGCUCACUGCUGUGUCUGCCGUGCUGCUAAGCAUGCCGGCCCAGCGUCUGCUGGAGGACCUGCCUGACGAGCUGCUGGAGGUCAGGUCAUGGCUGGCAGAUGUGGCUGAGCAGGACCCGGACGAGGACUGCAGGGCGCUGGCUGUGAAGGCGCUGCUACUUCUCCAGAAACUCUCGGACAAGCUCCUUCCUCUCACUGCCCCUUAGUCCCUGACUCUUGGUCCCAGGGCCAAGCAGCACCAGGCUCCUUGAGGAGGCAGCCAAGGAGCAAUGUCAGGCCCCACCAUCUCUGAGCACUCAGCAGAGCCACACGAGGCCUCUGGACCCCUCUGGAACGUGGGGUGAUGGGGACUGCCGGGGAGAGACUAUGGAGCCUCACAUGUGCCCCCUCCCCAUUUUCUCACCUGGAGGCAGGUGAAUGUGAAAAUAAAGGAGUGACCCCC